rnacentral:rRNA from 1 species
GACGAACGCUGGCGGCGUGCUUAACGCAUGCAAGUCGAACGGUAAGGCCCUUCGGGGUACACGAGUGGCGAACGGGUGAGUAACACGUGGGUGAUCUGCCCUGCACUUCGGGAUAAGCCUGGGAAACUGGGUCUAAUACCGGAUAGGACUCCUGGCUUCCUGGUUGGGGGUGGAAAGCUUUUGCGGUGUGGGAUGGGCCCGCGGCCUAUCAGCUUGUUGGUGGGGUAAUGGCCUACCAAGGCGACGACGGGUAGCCGGCCUGAGAGGGUGACCGGUCACACUGGGACUGAGAUACGGCCCAGACUCCUACGGGAGGCAGCAGUGGGGAAUAUUGCACAAUGGGCGCAAGCCUGAUGCAGCGACGCCGCGUGAGGGAUGACGGCCUUCGGGUUGUAAACCUCUUUCAGCUAUGACGAAGCGCAAGUGACGGUAGUAGCAGAAGAAGGACCGGCCAACUACGUGCCAGCCGCCGCGUAA